rnacentral:rRNA from 1 species
UACGGGGGGGGCAAGCGUUGUUCGGAAUUACUGGGCGUAAAGGGCUCGUAGGCGGCCAACUAAGUCGGAUGUGAAAUCCCCAGGCUUAACCUGGGAACUGCAUCCGAUACUGGAUGGCUUGAAUCCGGGAGAGGGAUGCAGAAUUCCAGGUGUAGCGGUGAAAUGCGUAGAUAUCUGGAGGAAUACCGGUGGCGAAGGCGGCAUCCUGGACCGGCAUUGACGCUGAUGAGCGAAAAGCUAGGGGAGCAAACAGGG